CCUACGGGUGGCAGCAGUGAGGAAUAUUGGUCAAUGGGCGCGAGCCUGAACCAGCCAAGUCGCGUGAGGGAAGACGGUCCUAUGGAUUGUAAACCUCUUUUGUAGGGGAGCAAAAGACGCCACGCGUGGCGUUCCGAGAGUACCCGAAGAAAAAGCAUCGGCUAACUCAGUGCCAGCAGCCGCGGUAAUACGGAGGAUGCGAGGGUUAUCCGGAUUUAUUGGGUUUAAAGGGUGCGCAGGCGGAAGAUCACGGCAGCGGUAAAAUUGAGAGGCUCAACCUCUUCGAGCCGUUGAAAAUGGUUGUCUUGAGUGAAUGAGAAGUAUGCGGAAUGCGUGGUGUAGCGGUGAAAUGCAUAGAUAUCACGCAGAACUCCGAUUGCGAAGGCAGCAUACCGGCGCUCAACUGACGCUCAUGCACGAAAGUGUGGGUAUCGAACAGGAUUAGAUACCCCAGUAGUC
rnacentral:rRNA from 1 species